rnacentral:rRNA from 1 species
GAUGAACGCUGGCGGCGUGCCUAAUACAUGCAAGUCGAGCGAACGGACGAGAAGCUUGCUUCUCUGAUGUUAGCGGCGGACGGGUGAGUAACACGUGGAUAACCUACCUAUAAGACUGGGAUAACUUCGGGAAACCGGAGCUAAUACCGGAUAAUAUUUUGAACCGCAUGGUUCAAAAGUGAAAGACGGUCUUGCUGUCACUUAUAGAUGGAUCCGCGCUGCAUUAGCUAGUUGGUAAGGUAACGGCUUACCAAGGCAACGAUGCGUAGCCGACCUGAGAGGGUGAUCGGCCACACUGGAACUGAGGCACGGUCCAGACUCCUACGGGAGGCAGCAGUAGGGAAUCUUCCGCAAUGGGCGAAAGCCUGACGGAGCAACGCCGCGUGAGUGAUGAAGGUCUUUGGAUCGUAAAACUCUGUUAUUAGGGAAGAACAUAUGUGUAAGUAACUGUGCACAUCUUGACGGUACCUAAUCAGAAAGCCACGGCUAACUACGUG